GAUGAACGCUGGCGGCGUGCCUAAUACAUGCAAGUCGAGCGGAGCGGGGACGGGUGAGUAAUACGUGGAUAACCUCCUAUAAGACUGGGAUAACUUCGGGAAACCGGAGCUAAUCCGGUUACUUCUUGAUGGAUCCGCGCUGCAUUAGCUAGUUGGUAAGGUAACGGCUUACCAAGGCAACGUUGCAUAGCCGACCUGAGCGGGUGAUCGGCCACACGGGAACUGCGACACGGUCCAGACUCCUACGGGAGGCAGCAGUAGGGAAUCUUCCUCAAGGGGCGGAAGCCUGACGGAGCAACGCCGCGUGAGUGAUGAAGGUCUUCGGAUCGUAAAACUCUGUUAUUAGGGAAGCGGUACCGAAACAGAAAGCCACGGCUAACUACGUGCCAGCAGCCGCGGUAAUUC
rnacentral:rRNA from 1 species